rnacentral:rRNA from 1 species
AUGAGCAAGCUCGACUACUGCUUCAGCAAUGACUACAUGGUGCUGCGCCCGGACAGGACCAGCCCGUUCGACCUCCUGCACCUCCUCUUCUCGCCCAAGGUCGGACGGAACAAGGCCGUCGACUGCUUCACCAGCACCGAGAUCCGCAGCUUCCCCCGGCGGCUCGCCCUCUUCCUCAACCUGCUCCUGCAGAUCCUCGUCCUCUCGCUCGCCGGCCCCAUGUCCGCCAUCGGCGCCGCCGUCGAGUUCGCGCUCAACCUCGUCGACAACGUCCUCCACGGUCAGCUCAUGAGCGCGUGCGCGCACUGUUUGUGUUUGGCGCCCGUCUUGGCUGCAAUGCAAACUGAAAUGGACUCUGCCGUGGUUGAUUGGUUGGUUGCAGGGAAGAUGGAGUAUCCGGACAGAUCGUCGGCGUCGUACCGGUCGCUGACGGGGCUCAUCGACGGGCGAGUGGAUCUGGACAGGAGCCUCGCGCCAGGGGACAGCCGGCACCACGCUGCGCUGUGCGUCAUGGCGUCCAAGGUGGCGUACGAGAACGAGGCCUUUAUCCGCGACGUGGUCACCAGCCGCUGGCAGAUGGAGUUCAUCAAGUUCUACAACUGCUGGAACGAGUUCGAGAACGCGUACACGGCGCAGGCGUUCGUGUUCUGCGACAGGGCGGGGCCGGACGCGGAGCUGGUGGUGGUGGCGUUCCGCGGGACGCCGGCGUUCGACGCGGCGCGGUGGCGCGCCGACCUGGACCCGUCGUGGUACAAGGUGCCGCGGCUCGGGCGCGCGCACGCCGCCUACACGCACGCGCUGGGCGCGCAGCGCAACAUGGGGUGGCCCAAGUGGGUGGAGCACGUCAAGGGCAAACCCCAGAAGGUGUACGCGUACUACACCAUCCGCGACGCCGUGAAGGGGCUCCUGGAGGCGAGCCCGAAGGCGAGGCUACUGGUGACCGGGCACGGGAGCGGCGGCGCGCUGGCGGUGCUGUUCGCGACGGUCAUGGCGUACCACAGGGAGAAGGCCGUGAUGGACCGGCUGGCCGGGGUGUACACGUUCGGGCAGCCGCAGGUCGGCGACGCCAUGCUCGCCAUGUUCGCGGAGCGGAACCUCGACAGGCCCAAGAAGCGGCACUUCCGGUUCACCUACGCCGGCGACCCGCUGCCGCGGCUGCCCGGCGUGGGCUCCCCCGCGCAUUUCCUGCAUUUCGGGCUAUGCCUCCACUUCGACGUCUCCUACCACCUCAAGGUGUUCAUGGAGAUACCGGGCGAGACGGCGAGCCCAUCGUCGUCGGCGGCGGGGUUCGUGGCGAGCCGGGUGAACGCAGCGCGGGAGCUGGCGCGGAGCGCGUACCUGGGCUACCGGAGGGGCGCCUACUUCCGGGAAGGGUGGGUGCUGCUGCUGAUGCGCGUGCUGGCGGUGGCGCUGCCCGGCCUGCCGUUCCACAUGGCGCACGACUACGUCAACGGCGUCGCGCUCGCCGCGCGCAUUCCCAAGGACGAGUGA